rnacentral:rRNA from 1 species
AAAUCAUCAUGCCCUUAUGUUCUGGGCUACGACACGUGCUACAAUGGCCGGUACAGACGGACGCAAAGCCGCGAGGUGGAGCAAAUCCUAAAAAGACCGGUCUCAGUUCGGAUUGCAGGCUGCAAUUCGCCUGCAUGAAGUCGGAAUCGCUAGUAAUCGCAGGUCAGCAUACUGCGGUGAAUACGUUCCCGGGCCUU